GAUGAACGCUGGCGGCGUGCUUAACACAUGCAAGUCGAACGAUGAAGCCCAGCUUGCUGGGUGGAUUAGUGGCGAACGGGUGAGUAACACGUGAGUAACCUGCCCUUAACUCUGGGAUAAGCCUGGGAAACUGGGUCUAAUACCGGAUAGGAGCGUCCACCGCAUGGGGGGUGUUGGAAAGAUUUGUCGGUUUUGGUUGGACUCGCGGCCUAUCAGCUUGUUGGUGAGGAACUGGCGCACCAAGGCGACGACGGGUAGCCGGCCUGGGAGGGCGACCGGCCCCACUGGGCUGCGGAAGGGGCCAGACUCCUACGGGAGGCAGCAGUGGGGAAUAUUGCACAAUGGGCGCAAGCCUGAUGCAGCGACGCCGCGUGUGGGAUGACGGCCUUCGGGUUGUAAACCUCUUUCAGUAGGGAAGAAGCGAAAGUGACGGUACCUGCAGAAGAAGCACCGGCUAACUACGUG
rnacentral:rRNA from 1 species